rnacentral:rRNA from 1 species
UACGUAGGUGGCAAGCGUUGUCCGGAUUUACUGGGUGUAAAGGGCGUGUAGCCGGGCUGACAAGUCAGAUGUGAAAUUCCGGGGCUCAACCCCGGACCUGCAUUUGAAACUGUUGGUCUUGAGUAUCGGAGAGGCAGGCGGAAUUCCUAGUGUAGCGGUGAAAUGCGUUGAUAUUAGGAGGAACACCAGUGGCGAAGGCGGCCUGCUGGACGACAACUGACGGUGAGGCGCGAAAGCGUGGGGAGCAAACAGG